rnacentral:rRNA from 1 species
AUGGAACAAUGGCAUCAGCUGGUGGAGAUUGCUAGAUAGAUCAACUUCAAUAGUGAUCCUGAUGCUCUUAUAUGGCAACUUGAAAAGAAGGGAGUGUACUCUUCUAGCUCUUUGUACCAUGUGAUUAACUUUAGAGGUGUGCAACCUCUGUUCCUACCAGCUGUUUGGAAACUUGCAGUGCCACCUAAGAUUCGUGUCUUCCUUUGGUUGUUUUCUCAAAACACGCUUAUGACUAGAGACAAUCUGAGGAAAAGACACAUAAUCAAACCGCUAGAAUGUGUUUUCUGUACUGAGCAUGAGACAAAUCACCACUUAUUUUUUGACUGUGUUGUAGCCAGGAAUAUUUGGUCUUUUGUCAGUCUUUUCUUCCAAAAGGAUCUGGGCACAAACUAG